UGAAGCGCACGAUGGGCGGAAGCUAGGAAGACAAACAUAAAGAUGAAGUGCUUAAUUCAAGGUCACACAAUGUCGGGGAUGGACCUCCAGAUUUCCUUACUGACCUGCAUUAUCUUGUGGAUACCUGAGUGAAUUCCACACCACCCAUUUUAUAGAUGAAACCACUGAGACAUGGAGCAACUGACUGAGUAGUCACUGCCCCACCCCUGCCUGGAGCCUCACACAUGACUCGUCUCCUCUCAGUGACCACAGGUGAGACGUGGUCUUGUAACACAGUGGUUAAGAAUGUGACUUUGGAGCCAGCCUGCUAGGGGCUGAAUUCUGACUCAGCCAUUUACUAACUGUGUGACCUUAGUUCCCUGAGCACAUGCUGUUGAGUAAUCCUGCCUGGACCAGUCCUUCCCUCACCCUAGACUUCACCUUCAGUUCCCCUUUAUACCACCUGCUGAAGCUGCCAGCCAGCCUUUUCGACCACCCUCCCUCCCCCAGGGGUGUUUGGCUUCUCAGACCCCAGCCUGAGCUAGUGCCCUUGGCUUCCUAGGGUCUUGCCAGGAAAGCAAAGGAGAACAUUCAUACCGCCAAAGAGUACCUAAUAAUAAGAACUCCCAUCCUGAAUUGUGAUUUAUAGUCAGCAUAGCACAUGUGUCAGGUGAUUAUACUUAGGCUGAUUUUAGCCUUAAUAAUCUGCUUCUGUGAUCCUGUAUGUGGGAAGCCUAGAAAUUUCUCUGUGAUCCUCCUUCCUGGAUCACUAAGAGACAAGUCAAGACAUAGGUCCAUUCUACCACCUGUGUUAAUCUGGGCCUUGUUGAGACCAUUUAAAGAAAGGUGUGAUGCUAGAAGUAAGGUCCAGGCCUCCUGCACACUGUUUCAAGGCUGUGACCAUAGUCAGAUCCUGUUGCUUGAGUCCAAAGAGUUUAAAAUAGUGUUGGAAACCUCCUAGGGAAAAAACAAAAAACAAAACACCACAUCUUCCUGGGUAAGGAAGUGACAUGUGCUGACUAGAGCAGGAGGGGUAGCCAAGGCUCCAAGUUCUAUUCUGGACCUGUUGUUGAUUCGAGGUGUGACAUUCAGCAAUCUGAGCUGAUGUUCUGUAGCUCUGAUUGGUUUCUCAUCUUCUGCAGAGAGAGUGAAAGAGGCUGUUCUUGCAGGGGAAAAGGUGAACACUGGUCUUCUGUCCUUUAGGAGAGCUUCACCAUUACACGUCCUGCCUCUCAUUUGAAUUUCCAGGCUUUUUUAGAGUCUCGCUCUAUUGCCCAGAUUGGAGUGCAGUGGUGUGAUCUCGGCUCACUGCAACCUCUGCCUUUGGGUUUAAGCGAUUCUCUCACCUCAGCCUCCCAAGUAGCUGGAAUUAUAGGUGUGUGCCACCAUGCCUGGCUAAUUUUUGUGUUUUUAGUAGAGACAGGGUUUCACCAUGUUGGCCAGGCUAGUCUCGAACUCCUGACCUCAAGUGAUCCACCCACCUCGGCCUCCCAACCAGGCUUCUUUUUUAAAUGCAGAAACCGCCCACCCCCAGAGUUAAUAUGGAAACCCAGCAAUGUUGUUUAUGUUUUACUUGAAUUCGUUUCAUCAGAAUUGCAUUCCUUUUAACAGUGUGAUUAGAUCAGCUCUUAGAGGGGAUGGCAGCUUCAGUAGGGUUUAGGAAAGGAAAGGAAUAUUUGUGUGGGGCACACACCUUGGCUUUGAUAGCUUGAGGAUACCAGGUACAUGAUAAUUUAGAUGGAUAACAGAAACUUGUGUCCCUUGAGAGCCAGGCAUAUAUUAGAUGCUUUCAUACAUUAUUUAAUUGUAAUACAAACCAAUAAAGUAUUCCCAUCUUUUGCACAUGGGCAAGCUGAAAGUCAAAGAAGUUAUGUAACUUGCCCAAGGUCACACAGCUAAUAAAAAGGCUGAGCUAGG
rnacentral:antisense_RNA from 1 species